UGCGGGGUCGUCUAAUGGCAGGACAACGGCCUUUGAAGCCGUUUAUGAACGUUCGAAUCGUUCCCCCGCAG
rnacentral:tRNA from 1 species